GAUGAAGAACGCAGCGAAAUGCGAUAAGUAAUGUGAAUUGCAGAAUUCAGUGAAUCAUCGAAUCUUUGAACGCACCUUGCGCUCCUUGGCAUUCCGAGGAGCAUGCCUGUUUGAGUGUCAUUAAAUUCUCAAGACCUGUCUGCUUUUUUGAUAGGUAUUGGAUCUUGGGGGUUGCAGGCUGUUUCAAAUAAAUAGCCUUGCUCUCCUUGAAUGUAUUAGUGGAGAAAAGCCAUUGAACUCCAUUGGUGUGAUAACACCUAUCAAUGCCAGGAGCAAUAUCACUACUUCUCUCUGCUGUCUAACUGUGACUGUCUGUAUUAAUUAGUAUGGAUGGGGACAACUUGACCAACUUGACCUCAAAUCAGGUAGGACUACCCGCUGAACUUAAGCAUAUCAAUAAGCGGAGGA
rnacentral:misc_RNA from 1 species